UGUGCGGAGAGCCAUAAAGGUGUCUUUUGUUAAGUUAAUGAGGUGACGGUGGGCAGGGGGCUGGUCGCCACGGCAACCAAGCCUCUGCUCCCCGGGUUGCAACUUUCCGCCCCACCCCCUGCCCUCUGCGGAGGGGGAGGGCCCGGAGGUUGACUCUGUGGGCCUCCAUCCGGCCUGUUGGGAAACUUCCAGAGACAUCCCCAGGGAGGGGGUUCAGAGAGCUUCCUGGCCUGUGGACACACGCAGGUGUGGGGAGAGAGGUGCUCCCGGAGAGGCCACGGGAGUUCUGCCUCCCUUCCCCACACCUGGCCCUGUGCAUGACUCCUCUGGCUGGUCCUGAGUCCUGUCCUGUCACCAUCAACCGUGGCCCGUCCAGGAUCCAUUCUGGGAUCCCACGUUACAUCUUGGCCACGGCGGCUGACUGUCCUCCUGCAUGGGGAAGGCCCUACAUCUUUCCGGAUCUUUCGUGACCCGAACACUUGGAGAAUAACGAGAGACAGCGUAUCAGCGGGGGACAUGCAGAGAGAGAGUGAGACACUGAGUCAGAAGCAGGCUCCAGGCUCUGAGCUGUCAGCACUGAGCCCAACGCGGGGCUCGAACUCACGGACCUUGAGAUCGUGACCUGAGCCGAAGUCGGUCGCUUAACUGACCGAGUCCCCCAGGCGCCCCAGGAUUCUUUUUUCUUAUUGGAAUUUUUACCCAUCAGCCGGAUGACAGUGUUCAGAUGUUGGGGAGGAAGAAUUUCAUCUGCCAUUCAAGGUCCUCCUGGUUGGACUAAGAACCAAGUUGACACGAGGCAGAUGAGCAUGAGAAAAAUCACGUUUACUUCAGUACAUACGGGGAACCCACACAGACACGGAAAUUCCAACGACAGGCAAAAUGAGGUACAUAUGUCAUUCUGAAUUAGGGGAAAGGGGCUAAGGGUCCGGGUCUUCAAAGGGAAGGAACGUAGUUCUUAGGAAUAUGAAGAAGGAAAUGUUUGUCUCUGAUCAGAAACCGGUCUCGUGGCUGUUCCUAAAUUAUUCGCAACCAAAGAGAAAGUGAGAGUCUCUUAUCUGGCCCACAUGGAAUGAUCCUUAUACUCUGGGCUGGGGAGAGGCUGAGCUUUCCAGGGCGUGUCGUUUAAACAAUAUCAGCCUCCUAAAAACUGAGAAGAAAGGAAGGUCUGUUCACCAGACAGCCGUCCCCAUCUGCUACCAGCAGUCACCUAUGCGUGGAGUACCUUACCCUUUCUCCAGUCCCAAGCCGUGGCAAGCAGGGAACAGCCUCUUUAAUUUAACACUGUGAAUAUGAAAAUAAAUAAGCUCACAGGGUACACGCUCUGUAAAAAUAUACGGCCAGGAAUAAUAGCUAUCUUCGACCUUUGCCUGCAACAUUCAUGUGUUUCAAUUAAUUUUUAAGACGGUCUGAUAGUAUAGAAAUGUACAGGGAAAGACAUCCAAAUAAUUGUGGAAGGGAGAAGCUUGAGUUAUUUGUAAUCAUGUGGAAAAUUAAUUAGAAUUAGAUAAUCACAGCUUUUUAAAACGGUGGGAUAUUUCAUUUAAAAAUUCAUUAAUUUAUGUAUGAAUAACAAUCUUUAAUUUAGUCACUGUAUUUUAGCAUCUAAUUAUUUGUGGGAGAGCCAUAAUUCGCUAAUUUUGAGUAUACCCAAAUGGAUUCAUUUGACUUCUUAACAACCAGAGGACUAAACUGUGAAACAUGGCAAAACCUUUUAAAAACGUGGCGCCUCAGGUUGUCAUCAAAAUCUGUCAUAACAUAAUAUUUUAAAGCUGCUAAAAGCAUCCUACGGUAGGGCGUUAAUCAAUACUGAGAAGAAAAUUAGUGUUGGUGGUUAUGAAAUACACGUUAAAACAUUUUCGUUAAUAGUUUGGAGUUUCAAAUAAUGCACAGGUUCGGGGAGAAAUCUUAUGUGAGGCAGGGGGAUUCUGAGACACGUGUGCAGCUGUGAGUGUCGUGUCAGCACUAAAACAGCUCCCCGUCCUUGGCUGGUGCAUCAGUCACGAGCCUCGUAGGGUUCAAAGCUUAUGAAUGUUUACAGGCAACGCCUGCAAGGUUCAACUCUGAGUCAUUUGUUUGGAAGAAAAUAAAGUAUUUGUGUCUGCACAGCCGUGUUAUUAACAAUGGCAAGGUUCCCAAACAACCCUCAAAAAAAUCUUCUCUCUAGCCUGCCACAGAAAACACAAGAUACUCAAGACUCUCGGUGCACAACCAUAGGACAUAACACCGUGGUAGUCAUAAAUAAAUGAAUAUAGACUCGAAUGUUUUAAAAUCACAGUUUCAGAAACCUCUUAAAUGUUGAAACACAGAAUGAAGGAGUUUCCUUUCGAGGAUGAUGAAGUGUCAGAUGUAGCACAUUAUGGGAAUUCUGCAGACUCAUCCUGGAACCUUUGAAGGAGUUGGUACGUUUGAUUUCUUAGCACUGGCUGCAAGGACGGAGGUUGGACCAGAAGAGGACGUGUGGGCAAACAUUCCUUGAGAGGCAGGGACUGUCGGUAGGAAAAAACCCAGAAAGGAACAGAACAGGGCUUGGGGAGUGAUCCUCGUCACCCUAACAAAAAUGAUGCAGACCUAAACCUUGGCGACAGAAUUCUUAGGCCAACACUCGGCGGAGCCGUUGAGAAUCUGGUUAAAGCAAACUGGAGGGCAGAGUCCAUUCAAAGGUACAUACUAACGGAGCGAGCGCCCAGUGCAAAAUCCCUACAUAGCAUUUGAGAAUCCAAGGUCAAUUUUCAAAAUGCAAAGCUUAGUUGCGGGGUCAGUCUUUGCUGGUUGGCUCAUUUGUAUACGGGACUUAAAUGUUUCCAGAAUUUCAAAACGCAUACCUUAAUCGUAAGGUCAGUGUUUGCUGGCUGGCCCAGCUGCGUAUCGGAGUUAAAUAUUUCUAAAAAGAUACUUCCUGGGGCGCCUGGGUGGCUCAGUCGGUUAAGCGUCCGACUUCGGCUCAGGUCAUGAUCUCGCGGUUCGUGAGUUCAAGCCCCGCGUCGGGCUCUGUGCUGAUGGCUCAGAGCCUGGAGCCUGUUUCGGAUUCUGUGUCUCCCUCUCUCUCUGCCCCUCCCCCGUUCAUGCUCGGUCUCUCUCU